rnacentral:rRNA from 1 species
AGAGCGAACGCUGGCGGCAGGCUUAACACAUGCAAGUCGAGCGGGCGUAGCAAUACGUCAGCGGCAGACGGGUGAGUAACGCGUGGGAACAUACCUUUUGGUUCGGAACAACACAGGGAAACUUGUGCUAAUACCGGAUAAGCCCUUACGGGGAAAGAUUUAUCGCCGAAAGAUUGGCCCGCGUCUGAUUAGCUAGUUGGUGAGGUAACGGCUCACCAAGGCGACGAUCAGUAGCUGGUCUGAGAGGAUGAUCAGCCACAUUGGGACUGAGACACGGCCCAAACUCCUACGGGAGGCAGCAGUGGGGAAUAUUGGACAAUGGGCGCAAGCCUGAUCCAGCCAUGCCGCGUGAGUGAUGAAGGCCCUAGGGUUGUAAAGCUCUUUUGUGCGGGAAGAUAAUGACGGUACCGCAAGAAUAAGCCCCGGCUAACUUCGUGCCAGCAGCCGU